CAUUUCUCAAAAUUAUUUCUCCUCGCCUUUCUGUAAAUUUUGGAGAGAGAAAAUUUUUUUACCUGCACUUUAAGGUAAACAUUACUAACCUAAAAACUCUCCUACACAAAUAAGAAAAAUAUUACUAAAAAGGAUCUCCUAGAAAAUAAGGAUUCCCCAACCUAAUUCAUUAGAUAAGCACACACAUAAAUUAUAUACUCUCUCAGAACAACGACAUCAAACAUCAUAUAUUUUUGUCACGGUAGGGUAGCCAGAAACACCAAUCUUUUCAGAAGUUUCUAGGUAUGUAGAUCCUUUUUUUAACUCCUCUAUUUCUAUGAUGUUCUGCUAUCUUUGUUGCUCUGCAUAUUGUCAUUGAGAAUUCAUCCUUGUAUUAUAUUUUAUAUAAUAAUAAUAAUUCAUCAAUAUUUAAGCAUUAACUGGGAAAGAAACAAAAAAUAAACGUGAGGACUUUAUCAUUUUUUAGGCGUUAUUUGUGAUUUCCAAGUUGUUUUAUUUGUAAAAGUGUUUUUUUUUUGUGUGUACGUGAACUCUAGCUGUUUUGACAAUGGGUCAAGAUCUCUUCUUUGAAAUUAUCAAGUUUUGUGAUUAAUACUCUCUGUUGUGACCCCUUGAUCUAUGUGUUAUUAUGAGUUCUUUGUUAUUUAAAUACUUGAAAUCAUCAUUAUAAAUUCUUGAAACAUCAACCAUAAGAAGCUUAUUUUAGGUAGAUGUGAAUUGUUCAGUUAGUUAUUUUGAUUAUAUCUUUCAUGUUAAUAAUCUACUUUAAUUCUGAAGCCAGUGUUUACUUCGCUUGAACUGUCACAUGUCUCUGUUUUUCAAUUAAAGUUUUCUUCAAUGUCUCUUAAUCAUAAACACGUUAUAAAUUAAAUAUUGAAUUUAUAGAUGCCUUGAUCAUGUUUUGUUUUAAUAUGACUUUCAUGUUUGACAUUUAAGAGUUCGUAAUCUCGAAAGCAAUAACUAUUGUGUCUCACGAGUAACACAAUUAUCAACCUGUGUGUUUUCAUAUAUAACUAGGCAGAAACUAAAACUCAAUCAAUUUGCUAUUGUUCAGUUACAUUAACGAUAGUUAGGGACAUAAUUUGCAAAGUUAUUUGACACUAUAGGUUAUUGAUUUGUAUGAGCUUGUGCAACCUUUCCUGAUGAAUACUGAAGCAUCUGGUUCUCAUUUGAUUUUUUGCCUAUGCUGUUGGAGUUACAGUGCCUUUAGUUUUACCAGGAACUAGCUCUUUUCCCUGAAUUAAAGAUUUGCCCAUUUGCAUUGAAUUGCAAAUGGGACUCCAUGUUAUUGCUAGAAUAAGGAAUGAAUAUAGAGUUAGUAAGUUUACCUGAGCCUGACUUAGUUCCAUGAAUCUGCAAACCUGUAAGUUCUUCUCCUCCUUGCAGCCCAUUGAUUAGAUUAUAAGGUGUCUUCAAAACCAUAAUGCUUCCACCUGGUGAAGGUUCAAUGAUUUUUUUCUGUGGUAUAGAUGUUGGAGUGAGUAAGAGACAUUAGCAUUGACAUAAAAUAAUAGACAUUUCAAUCUGCACGAAGACUUAACUAGGUGAAUUUAUAACAGAGAUCUUUAUUGGAUGGAAAAAAUCCUUCGUUUGAUGCCUAAACUGCUACACACCACUUUUGUCCAACAACCCAGGAUCCUUUUUUUGAACCUUACUCUAUUAAGCGCUACGACUUUAUCAUUAACAAGGUCACGACCCUUGUAUUCACUACUGUAAGUCCCUUGGCUAAUCUGCAAGAAUAGAACGCUAUUACACAACCUAAAAACUAUAGAACUAGUAUAUUUCAAUCUCCACCAACCCUUCACUAGGUGGAUGUAUAAUAGGGACCUAUUAAUUCUCCCUAAAUAGGCAUAUGGAACAAGGGGACAAAAUCACACGAUUCAAAAUUAGGAGAAAUGAAGAAGCAGAAGAAAGAUAGAGGAUAUAUAGAGUAAGACUGGGCAACGGAACGGGACGUACCGGUACCGUUCCGGUUCGUCCCGUUUCGGUUGCCUACGGGACGGGCCGGGAUAUUCUAAACCGGUACACGGAACGGGACGGAACCGUAGUUUCGUACCGGUGUACCGGUACCGGUUCAUCCCGGUUCAUUCCGGUUUCGGUCCGGUCCGGUCAGUUCCGGUUCCGGUCCGGUUUAUUUAAUAUAUAUUAAUUUUUUUAUAUUUUAUAUUUUAUAUGAUUUAUAUUUAUAUUUUUUAUAAAUUAUAUUUUAAAAUUUAAAUUUUUUUCAAAAAUCCCGCCCAUUGAAAUUGUAAUUUGUUACAAAUUUAAAUAAAUUAAAUUGAUAUUUUUUAAUUUUUGUAAUUUAAUUUACUUUUUUAAAAUUACAAAUUUUAUUUAUUUAAUAUUUACAAGAUACAAGUUAUAAAUAUAACUUAUAAAAUAAAUAUUAAUAAAUAUAAGUAAUAACUUAUAAAGUAUAAACUUCAAAAGAUUUAAAUUUUGAAAACUUUAUUAGAUUACUUGCAAACUUAACAAUAAUAAAAAAAAAUUAAUAAAAUAUCUUUAAAAUAAACUUAAGUUAAAAAUUAUAGUAUAAAUUUAAAAACUAUUAAUUUAUACUUAAAAAAUAAAAAAAAAUUAUAUUUUCGUAAUUUAAAAAAUAUCGUCCCGUUAAUUCCGUCCCGUUCCAUCCCGGUCCGUUCCGGUUCAUUCCGGUUCCGUCCCGGUAUAUAGUGGAACGGGACGGAACCGAUGAAUCAUCCCGGUAAUUCCGGUCCGGUUCAUCCCGGUACCGGUCAACGGAUUCCGGUCCGGUCCGGUACCGGUUCAUUCCGAUCCGGUGACCCGGUUCCGGUCCGUUGACCAGUCUUAAAUUAUAGAGUAAAUAUGAUUAGGUAAGAGCAACCUAAUACAAAAGAAACAGACUUAAAUUUGUUUCAGGAAAAACGAGAAAAAAUACAAAUAGUGGAGGGAUUAUAACCCAGCAAAAAAGUGGAAAGUUAAGUACCAUAACUUGAAACACCAAAAAGUGCGUAGUCUUUUCAUCAUUUUCAGUCAUUGGAAUUGUCUAUCUCACUAUGCUUUGAAAUCUGCAUGCUAUCAAAUUAUUGAUAUUCGACUCAGUGCACAACAUACAAGCAGUAACAUCAAAAUUUGGAAAUAACAUAUUCUUCCAUGGUUCUAAGCUCAAAAAUAUGGAAGAAACAAGAAUUUUCACAUCUCUACCACCAAGUCAAUUUUGUUCCACAUCCCUUUUCGGCUAAGGAAUAUGGAUGAAACACGCAUUUCCACGGCUAAGGAAUAUGGAUAAAACACGCAUUUCCACAACUCUAAGGUUAAAAAACCCAUCCUAAUCCCUCUUUCGUGUCCAUAUCUCUUUCUGACGAAGGAAUUGGAAAUUUUUUGUUACAUGACUCCUUUUUUCAUUUCAAGGUACUGUUAAGUACUGAAACCAUUAAAAGAAAGGAAGGAAACCCCCAAUUAUUUAUUGGACACGGGAAAUAAAUACCAUUCAGGUAAAAUUUCGCAACAGAAGAGAGAGUGUUCAUGUUUGGUAAUUCCCUUUUGCCUACAUGUUAUUGUUGUGUUGACUUUCAUAUGAACUCGAGCUUAGAAUCUGUUCAGAAUCUCUUUUGCUAAAAUCUGUUAAGUCUAACGACCGGUAUAGCCUAAGCGGUAGUCACAACUCUUUUCUAUUGUUUGAUAAAAGUGGUCAGCAACAGCAGAUGUAAUAAACGGACGAUGAAAAUUUCAAGGUGAAUUCUUAUUCAUUAGAUUUCUACUGUAAGAGGAUAUUAACAAUAUUAUGCACAUUGACAAUCACACACAGCUAGAAACAAACCAUGAUAUAAUAUUUGUUGGAUUUUAAAAAGGUGUUAAUGAAAAAUAAAGAGUUGUGGAUUUUAUGAAUAGUUAUGACUUUUAUGAAAUAUUGAGACUUUUAUGGAAAAUUGUGACUUUUAUGGAAAGUUGUGACUUUUAUGAAAGGUGACGACCUUUCUAAAAGAUUGUGACUUUUCCAAAGGUUUGUGACCUUUCCGAUAAGGCACAAUAAAAAUCUUUUCGCACUACCCUUUGUUUUCUAUAAAUUGAGGGAUUUCCUCUCAUUUUAAUAUAGAAUUCAUGGACUUCUUCUUCAACUACUAAAUCUAGUAUUCUAAGUGUACUUUACUUCCAUUGAGUGGUUCGCUGACAUUGGAGUUUUUGGUAUCUAUACUCUGGUGAUUGAGAUCAUUUUACCUUGGGAGGUCAUAUUCCAAAUCAAACCUCGGAUAUUAGAGGGGAAUAAUUUCCUUAUGGGGACACUGUGAGUUUAGUGGACUUGAUCUUUUUCCUAUUAAAAAUUUCCAGAUUCUAGUACGUGUUUUACAAAUUUUAGAUUUUUGAAUUAAAUUCAGUUCUUCUAUCUUUUUUUUUCUUCACUGGUUCAUUAAACUUGGUAACUUCGUGUUUCUGCAAAGUUUGUUGGAAUCAGUAAAAUUCUUUAGACACAUAUUAACAACAAUUCUUCUUUAAGAAAAAUAUUUCGUAUAUAUUUUUUUAAAUUUGUUUCUGAUUCUAGUUUCGCUACUAGUUUUAAUUUUCUAGUUGUGAAAAUGUUCUUAAACUUUGUUGUCUUACAAAGAUGUUCAACGUUUGUUCUAAGUAUGUUUGGAAUACAAGAUGAACAACAAUCUUUAGGAAAUUAAUAUACUGUUAGUAUUUUUUGUAUUCUACUAAUUGAAAGAAUCUGAUCAUGGAAGUAGAAGAUAAAUGCAUUACUUCUCCACAAUUCGUUGCCUUGUUUAGCAAGGUCGAAAUGAGAAUGUAAACAGAAAUUUUUAUGGUAUUACGUUUAAAGAUUACCAGGUAACUUUCUUAUUAAAUUAUUUAUGGAGGAAAAUAGUUUCUAAGAGUUAUCAUCUUUGAUUUUUUUUUUCAAUUAUGUGUAUCUUUUGAAAGAGAUCUGCAAACCAUAUGUUGUGGAAUGGAUUUUACUUCGCAAAUAUUGUUGCUUUUAAAAUUCUUUAGUUUGCAAAAAUGAGAUAUGCAUAUUUUUGUUUGUAUAAAAUAGUAUGUCAAAAUGUUAUAGUUGGAAGACUAUUUGAUAAGAAAAUUUUUUUUAUGUGAUAAAGAAUAUGUGUUAUUUUGUUUGGAGAAAAAAAAAGACUUUUGUAGUUUUGUACUCCAUGAGAAAUGUUAGUGUGUCUGAUUUUUGUAGACUAAAAACUUUUGUGGUUUUAUACUCCGAAUAAAUUGGACUAUGCAAUUGAUUUGAAGAACAUGAAAACUUCACAUAAUAAGUCAGUGUUGUACUUUUGAAUAGUUUUUUUGUCCUUAUUGUUAGUAUUUAAACUAAGUGGUAUGUCUAUUUAUGAUAGAGGAAAAAUGUCAGUGACUUAGAAUUUGUGAUUUUGUGUCUCUAUGGAAUGAACUUUGACAUUGAGUAAACAUUGUCAAAGAGAAUUGCAGCACUAUAAUUCUUUCGUAGAAUAAUGUUUCCAACAUUAAAAUAUGUGGAAAAACUAUUUUCAAAUAUUUGAAAAAUAUUUUUGAGAUCACAUUUGAAAUGUGGGGGUUAUUUGCUUAUGAUUAGACUUGGUGUCUAAUUUAACUUAGGAGCAAAAGAUAUGAAAUUCAAUGAUACUUUUGUAUUAUGUUAUACCCACAAAAUUCUUGGAGUAUAUUUGGUAUUGUGGUUGUUGAGUUUCUCUAUUACUAAUAUAUAGUGUGACUAAUAUGAAACAUCCAAAUUAGAUAUAUACUUGUUCAAAAUAAUUGUAUUCUUUUAUGGGAAAAAAAACACUUAAAAUGUUGUGAUUUUUCAUGAAAAGAUAUGUCUAUUAUAAUAAAAGUAUUUGCAUAGACAUGAAUAUUGGUGAAUAGUCAUUUGUUAUAUUUUUGUAAAAAUAACAUUUGGACUAUAUUGUCUUUAUUGAACCCGAUGAAACUUUGUUCAUGGGUAGUUCUAUAACAAUCAUAUUGAAUGUUAUGGAAAUGUCCUUCUGAAAAGGACAUGUGACAAUCUAAAUAAUGUUUGUAUCACACAAAAUUGUAAGAAAUAAGAACAAAAUAUUAAGAGGAAAAAUCUACCUCGUGGAGUGCUUUUCAAACUCAAUGUUUUUAUUUGUUCUUACUUGCUUGAGUCAAUGUUUGUGACAUGAACACUUGGGGCAUGUCAAUUACAAAACCUUGUAAGGAAAACUGAUAAACUUAGAAGUUUUGCCUAACUUUGAGUGUAAUAAAUAAAAAUGUCAAGUUUUUGUGGAAUCUAAGUAUGUUGAACAUUCUUAUAAAUCUAUUGAAAGGAAUUCUAAUCCCUUAUAAUUGAUUUACACUAACAUUUGUGAUAUGAAAUUAACACCAUCUCAUGGUGGGAAAAAGUAUUUGUUACUUUUAUUGAGAAUUGCAUUAUAAAUGACUAUGUCUAUUUGCUGAAUGGUAAGGAUGAAACAAUAGAAAUGUCUAGACAAUGUAAUAUCGAAGUUAAAAAUCAGUGUGAAAAAAUAUAAAAAGUGAUAAGAAUGGAGAGUAUAAAUCUCAUUGCGCAGAAAUAUGUUUGGAAAGUGGAAUAUCCAUCAAACUAUUGUCAUAUUCACCUCAAUCUAAUGAAAAACCGAACGUUGAAAGAAAUGAUGGAUGCAUUAUUUAUAAGUUCGGGUUUACACAAAACUUAUGUGGAGGAACUAUCCUUAUUGCAAAAGGGAACAACAAAAAGUUUUGUCUCUUUAGAGAGAAAGCAACUUUGUUUAAUCAAAAUACAAUAUUUUCCGUAUGAGAAACGGAAAGAAAGGAAAUCCAACUUGAAAUAUUUCAAAGUGUGGGAGUAUCUAGUCAAAGUCCAAGUUCCUAUUCCUAAAAGAAUUAAAAUAGUACCUAUCACUGUGGACUGUAAAAUUAGACUUGAAUAGUCUAGAGAACGGUCUAAAAGGUGUUAAAGGACAUUUACUUCCUUUGAAUAUGAUUUUGUAACAUUUCCUGUGUCUUUUGUAGACUCAUUCUUUGGAAAGAUGGUGUCAAUAAACAAUAUUGGAAGUUAAUUGAUCUUUUUCAAGAAAAUAAACCUUUGGGUUCAAAGUGAAUCCUUAAAAGGAAAAUAAUAGUUGAUGGAACUGUUGAAAAAUAUAAAGCAAGACUUUGUGCCAAAGGCUUUAGAAUUUUUUUUUUAUCUUGUCAAUAUAUAUAUGUACUCGUUAGUAAUUAGAAUUAUAUCCAUUCGGAUGCAAAAAUUAUUAGUGUGGUAUAUGACCUCCAAAUUCAUCAAUUGAAUGUGAAAAGAACUUUCUUAAAUGUAGAAUUGGAGGAAGAAAUUUACAUGGAGGAUUUUGUGGUUCCUGAUAAAUAAAAGAAAGUGUGUGAAAUUGUUAAGUUACAUUAUGGAAGCACCUAAACAAUGACAUAAUUUGAUCAAACUAUGUCGACAAAUGGAUUGAAGAAUGAUGGAAGUGAUAAAUGUAUUCACAUUAAAAUCAUAAGGUCAUUGUUUGUUUGUAUAUUGUUGAUAUUUUGAUCAUCAAUAGAGACAUUAAUGACAUAAAUGCUACUAAACGUAUGCUAUAAAGCAAGUGGAAUGGAAAUUAUUGGAGUUGCUAAUGCGAUCUUAGAUAUAAGAAUUCGUAGAACUCCAUAAUGUUUAGCAUUUUCACGGUCUCAUUGCAUUGAAAAGGUACUUAACUAGUUCAAAUAUUUGGAUGUCAAUAUUUUCAAGUCUCCAGUAAAUGUGAGCUUUGAAUUUCAAAAGGGUGAAAACAAAAGUGACUCACAAUUGGAUUGUUCUACAGUUUUGGGAAGCAUGAUGUAUAUCACAUAAUGUGUGCGAUCAGAUAUAGCAUUUGCUAUUUUAAGCUGAGUCGGUUCACAAGUGAUCCCAAAUAAAUUCAUUAGAUGACAAUAAAUAAAUUUUUGGAGUAUUUAAAAUAAUACUUAAAACUAUGUCUUGCAUUAUAACAAUAUCCAACAAUAUUGAAAGAUAUAGUGAUGCAAAUUGAAUCAUCGGACGAAUGAAGUAAAAUUCACGAGUGGAUAUGUAUUUACUAUUGGUAGAGGAGCAUUCUCUUAGAAAUAUUUCAAAACAGAGAUGUAUCGCUAGCUCUACAAUGAUCUUUGAGCUAGGUUCUCUAGAUAAGGUCGGUGAAUAAGUUGAAAGACUCCGAAAUUUCUUGAUUGAUAUUCUGUUUUGGCCCAAACCAUUGGCAUUAGUAUGCAUACACUUUCACAGUCAAGAUGCAAUAGGUAGGGCAUGGAGCAUGAUGUAUAACGGAAAGUCUCAUCAUAUAUGACAUAAAUAUGAUACCGUUAGAAAACUACUCUCUAGUGAAAUUAUCGGAAUUGACUAUGUAACGUCAAAGGAUAAUAUGUCAAAUCCACUUACAAAAAGGCCUAACUAGAGAGGAAGUUAAUAGAUCGUCUAAGGGAAUGAAUUUACGGCUUAGGACAAGUCAUCAUGGCGGUAACUCUAUCUACUAGACUGGAGAUCCCAAGAGCUAGAUUUAAGGAGAAAAACAAAGUGGUGAAUGACGGUUCGUCAUUGUCAACAAACUCAAUCAAUUCUCAUGAUGAAGACAAUGCUCAAGAACAAGGAUACAACAUUAAGGCUUGUUAAUGAGUUAAUAAAGCUUAAUGAUUUUAAUGAUUUGCUAAGUUUGGUAGAGUUGACCAAAUAGUGUAUCUAUGCGAUAACACGGUUAGGAAUCACCUAUGUGAGUGUGAAGUGUAAGCUGCUUCAAAGAAGAUGAUUGUCAAAAGCCUAUCUCUCUAUACACUCAUGAAACCAUGAGGUGUUCAUGGCUAAAACGAACACAACCGUAAGAACCAUAAACGGUAAAGAGUUAAUUGUGUGACAUAUGGUUGUCUAGGUAUACACCAAAGUUCGACGGUUCAAAGAUAUCGCAUCUACCGAUUGAUCGAGUAUAUCCGACAUAUGUUUACUACAGAAAGUCCAGGGGGAAACCUACUUAUCCAGAUGCAAUUAAUUCUUAUUUGUAAAGUACACAUACUUGUCCGUUUCUUUGUCUUCAAGUCAUUCCCCAUUCAUGCGGGGGAUUGUUGGAUUUUAAAAGGGUGUGAAUGAAAAAUGAAGAGUUGCGACUUUUAUGAAGAGUUAUGAAUUUUAUGAAAUGUUGCGACUUUUAUGAAAAGUUGUGACUUUUAUGGAAAGUUAUGAUUUUUAUGAAAGGUGACGACCUUUCUGAAAGAUUGUGACUUUUCCAAAGGUUUGUGGCCUUUCCGGUAAGGCACAAUAAGAACCUUUUUGCACUACCCUUUGUUUUCUAUAAAUUGAGGGAUUUCCUCUCAUUUUCAUAUAGAAUUCAUGGACUUUUCUUCAACUACUAAAUCUAGUAUUGUAAGUGUACUUUAAUGCCGUUGAGCGGUUCGCUGACAUCACAGCUUUUGGUAUCUAUUCUCUGGUGAUUGAGAUUAUUUUACCCUAGGAGGUCAUAUUCCAAAUCAAACCUCGGAUAUUAGAGGGGAAUAAUUUCCUUAAGGGGACACUGUGAGUUCAUUGGACUUGAUCUUUUUCCUAUUAAAAGUUUCUAGAUUAUAGUACGUGUUUUACAAAUUUUAUAUUUGUGAAUUAAUUUCAGUUCUUCUAUCUUUUUUUUUCUUCACUGGUUCAUUAAACUUGGUAACUUCGUGUUUCUUCAAAGUUUGUUGGAAUUAGUAAGAUUCUGUAGUCACGGAUUAACAACAAUUCUUCUUUAAGAAAAAUAUUUCGUAUAUUUUUUAAAAAAUCUGUUUCUGAUUCUAGUUUUGCUACUAGUUUUAAUUUUCUAGUUGUGAAAAUGUUCUUAAACUUUGUUGUCUUACAAAGAUGUUCAAAGUUUGUUCUAUGUAUGUUUUGAAUACAAGAUGAACAACAUUACAUAGAGAGUGGGAAAACUGGUAUCAAAUUUAUCACCUUAUAAUCCAUCAGAAUAAACUAUUAAGUUAUAACACAAACUAAUCUAAAAAAGGACUAUGUCAUUUCUCAUUGUGAUUGAUCCCCUUAGGUGAAGGCUAAUACGCAAAGAACGUUAGCAUUUUAAGUUCUAGCAUCAGAAGAGUGCCAAAUGACCAGAGUUUAUUAUUCUAGAGCAUUUUGUUGAACCAUAUGUGUUUUUCCAUUUGUUAACUUUCAAUGAUUUUUUCAUUUUAGGCAACAUAGUGUCACGACCCUCCUGAUACCCAGGCAGUUCGCGACCUGCCUAGGCAGCCAGCAGGCGCAGCAGGCGCAAGGGAGCAGGCUGACCACGCAGGUCAGCAGCCAAGGGGACCAGCAGCAGCUGAAGAGGCAGCAAUUACAAUAGUUACAGCCGCUACAGCUGUUACACUUGUUAGUGGGGCGGCUGUUUCAGGAGUUACAAGUCUUUGAGAGGCUUGUGCAGAUCAUGGGGCAGACUAGUCAAGGCUAGGAGUCCUUUUUGGAAGACUUAGGAGUCAUGCCUUGAGUACAUGAAUAGGGGCUUGUAUAGUUGUAUUUAUUUACUCUUAGGGGUUAGAGUAGUAUAAAUAGUAAGGUCAUUGUAUUUUGUAAAGCAUCCAACAAUUCAUUGACUAAUAAGAUACUAGUCCAUUCUUCCAA
rnacentral:lncRNA from 1 species